GCGGGCGUGAUGGAAUGGUAGACAUAAGAGACUUAAAAUCUCUGGGCCUUUGUGCCGUGCGGGUUCGAGUCCCGCCGCCCGCACCA
rnacentral:tRNA from 1 species